UUGCCAUCAUGCUGCAGUGCUUGGAAAUGAUGCUGACCAAGUGCAGGAAGCAGGUCACCCUGCAGAGGGCGCAGGCCUUCGUUAAAAGACAGAACACUCAAUCUGCACAUGCUGCCUGACUCUUGCAUGGGCAUCCUGGCAGCCAAUAGGACGUUGAUGCAUACCUUUGAUAUCCCAAAGUGUGAUAUCCUGCGGGAUAAUGAGAUGCAGGGCAGCGGUGUGUCUCCCAGAGCUGGAUGAGCUGGAGUAACCCCCAGAACACUUCACUGUGGGAGCUUCACUUACUAAAGACACUAUCACCCCAUUGUUAGGAAGUAUGCUGCUCAUCUCAUGGUUGGAGCCUCCAGUGAAGGCUGCUCUCAGCAGAAG